GAUGAACGCUGGCGGUGUGCCUAAUACAUGCAAGUCGAGCGAACAGAUGAGGAGCUUGCUCCUCUGACGUUAGCGGCGGACGGGUGAGUAACACGUGGAUAACCUACCUAUAAGACUGGGAUAACUUCGGGAAACCGGAGCUAAUACCGGAUAAUAUAUUGAACCGCAUGGUUCAAUAGUGAAAGACGGUUUUGCUGUCACUUAUAGAUGGAUCCGCGCCGCAUUAGCUAGUUGGUAAGGUAACGGCUUACCAAGGCAACGAUGCGUAGCCGACCUGAGAGGGUGAUCGGCCACACUGGAACUGAGACACGGUCCAGACUCCUACGGGAGGCAGCAGUAGGGAAUCUUCCGCAAUGGGCGAAAGCCUGACGGAGCAACGCCGCGUGAGUGAUGAAGGUCUUCGGAUCGUAAAACUCUGUUAUUAGGGAAGAACAAAUGUGUAAGUAACUAUGCACGUCUUGACGGUACCUAAUCAGAAAGCCACGGCUAACUACGUG
rnacentral:rRNA from 1 species